CAGGGAGACAACAAAAUGUUUAAUAUUAUUAUUUUGUCACCUUAGGUCGAUCGGUAUCUCACAUUCUUAAUUCUUAAGGAUUUCAUUUCCUAAGUUUUUCUAGGUCACACCCAUUAUUUUUCCUGGGCCAUUAGCUCAGGUGGUUAGAGCGCACCCCUGAUAAGGGUGAGGUCCCUGGUUCAAGUCCAGGAUGGCCCAUAUCUCUAUGUUGGGGGUAUAGCUCAGUUGGUAGAGCGCCUGCUUUGCAAGCAGGAUGUCAGCGGUUCGAGUCCGCUUACCUCCACUGAUUACCACCUCUUCCAUAAUCUUUAGAAGGGAAAUGUUUUGAGUUGUGAUCAAAUCCUGAACGAAUCUAGCUUCCUAAUGUAAUCAUUAAGAUGCUGGAUUCAUUGAAUUAUUUUCAUUGUUUUCAGAGAACCUUGACAACUGCAUAGAUUAUUUUUAAAGACAAUAAGCAUCUUUAAUGAUGCAGAUUUAUUAUUUGUGCGAAUGCAUUAAUAACAAUUCUAUUAAGCUGAUGCUUCAAUUAUUGAAGUUAUU
rnacentral:tRNA from 1 species